rnacentral:rRNA from 1 species
UACGAAGGGGGCUAGCGUUGUUCGGAAUUACCGGGCGUAAAGCGCACGUAGGCGGAUUGUUAAGUUAGGGGUGAAAUCCCGGGGCUCAACCCCGGAACUGCCUUUAAUACUGGCAAUCUCGAGUCCGAGAGAGGUGAGUGGAAUUCCGAGUGUAGAGGUGAAAUUCGUAGAUAUUCGGAGGAACACCAGUGGCGAAGGCGGCUCACUGGCUCGGUACUGACGCUGAGGUGCGAAAGCGUGGGGAGCAAACAGG